UACGUAGGGGGCAAGCGUUGUCCGGAUUUAUUGGGCGUAAAGAGCGUGUAGGCGGCCAGGUAGGUGGGUUGUGAAAACUGGAGGCUCAACCUCCAGCCUGCAGUGGGUACGGGCAAACUAGAGUGCGGUAGGGGAGAUUGGAAUUCCUGGUGUAGCGGUGGAAUGCGCAGAUAUCAGGAGGAACACCGAUGGCGAAGGCAGAUCUCUGGGCCGUAACUGACGCUGAGGAGCGAAAGCAUGGGGAGCGAACAGG
rnacentral:rRNA from 1 species